GAUGAACGCUGGCGGCGUGCCUAAUACAUGCAAGUCGAGCGAACGGACGAGAAGCUUGCUUCUCUGAUGUUAGCGGCGGACGGGUGAGUAACACGUGGAUAACCUACCUAUAAGACUGGGAUAACUACGGGAAACCGGAGCUAAUACCGGAUAAUAUUUUGAACCGCAUGGUUCAAAAGUAAAAGACGGUCUUGCUGUCACGUAUAGAUGGAUCCGCGCUGCAUUAGCUAGUUGGUAAGGUAACGGCUUACCAAGGCAACGAUGCAUAACCGACCUGAGAGGGUGAUCGGCCACACCGGAACUGAGACGCGGUCCAGACUCCUACGGGAGGGCGCAGUAGGGAAUCUUCCGCAAUGGGCGAAAGCCUGACGGAGCAACGCCGCGUGAGUGAUGAAGGUCUUCGGAUCGUAAAACUCUGUUAUUAGGGAAGAACAUAUGUGUAAGUAACUGUGCACAUCUUGACGGUACCUAAUCAGAAAGCCACGGCUAACUACGUG
rnacentral:rRNA from 1 species